UUAACAACAACCAUUAUAAAGGGAUUAAAAUCUCAGAAACAUCAAUAUAUUUUAUUUCGUUAUAAACCAUCUCUGACAGAGCAGUCUAAUUCAAUAGAACAUAACUCAUUCCUAAAAACCAUUCUGGUUCAGUAGACAGUACCCAUUCUUAAAAAUCAUUCUAGUUCAACAGAACAUUAUCCAUUCUUAAAAUUUACUGUUUUACAUUUACUUAGUGUCAUUUUGGAUAGGAUAAAAGUCAAAGUCACAAGUUUGGGAUCAAUCAAGGUCAUAUGGUAUAUAGAAAUUUGUCAGUAGUAAUUGCAUUAUCUUUGACACAUAUACGGACCAAUGACGUGGCAUUGACUGAUGAGGUGUCAUGAUUCUAUUGGACUAAAAUUUUUAUGUACUGUUGAUCAGUGACGUGGCAGCAUGUUAGUGGACCAAAAAUCGUGCAUACGGUACAUGCAUAUACACGAAAUUAUUUACAACCAAACCGCGUCCUUAUUCUAGCCGCCUCACUGUUCAAACCGCGUCAUUAUGCAAACCGCGUACUGUUGACACGUGGCACAAUCCUGAGCGUCCAAAUUAUUUUUAAUUCGAUGGCCAUGAUUUACUCAGUGUAUCUAUAAAAAGGGGGCUCCCCCAUGAUUUACUCAGUGUAUCUAUGGUGCAUGUUGAUGCAGAUCCAGAUAUCCAAGCACUCAAUUUUAAUAAUUUUCUCUUCAAUUUAUUCCCACCGUUUUAAUUCAAAUUUUAGGAUAAGCUAAGUCACUUUCACCACAAAUCCAACCACCCACUUAGAAAAUUAAUUCUACACAUAAUUAAAAUCCACCUCCUCGUGGGAUCGCCACUCGUCACCAUUAAUCUAUUCUGUAAUAAAUUUGUGUACUUGCGAGUUCAAUAAAAUUUGCAAAACAUUUGGAUAAAAGUUUUUGUGCCUCUAUGCUAUUGAUUUCAAUAAUUUUUUUUCAAUUUUAUCUUCAAUCACUAUAAGAAAACAGGUAAUAGAUGACGGAAAAUAACUAUCAUAAAAGAGGGCGCAUGACAGACAGUUCAUCCGUCAUCUAUGUCACUGUCACUAAUUUAUGAUAGAAUAUUUUUUCAUCAUGAAUUUAUGAUGGUAUUUCACAGUCAUAUAUCCAUCACAUAAUAUUUAAAUAUAAAAUUAAUUUAAUUAAAAUUAUUUUUUUUAAUUUCGUGCCUUUUUUUAAAUUUUUGGUGGGAAUUCAAUUAUCAUUUUAAAAUUUUGGCGGAAAAUUUUUUGUGACAGACUUUAUGAUGGAUAUUUCCGUCAUAGAGUUAUAUUUUAAAAAAAAUUAUAUUAUAAUUAUAAUUUAUUAAUCAAUUCCUGUUUACAGAUUUAAUUAAUUGAUAAAAUGAAUAUGGGAACAAAAACUAAAAACAAAUAAUAUUAAUUAAAAUCCAUUCAAUCCAACUAAUUCAAAAGAGAUACAUAUAGUAUCCAAUGUAAUCACCAUGAAUACAUAAUAAAACAUCUUAAAUUAAAAAAAUCCCAAAUAUAAAACAACACAGUUAAGUUAUAAUCCCAUAAACCAAGCCACAAAACUUCUAAAGAUUAACGGAAAUAUUCCAAUAGCAAGACUUUAAGCUUGACUUCGAGCAGUAAUGCCCUCUUCCAGUGGGAAUACUCCAACAACCACACUCUAACACUCCAAUGCAGACACUCAGCAACACUCCAACCCAUACCCAGCAACCCACCAUCUUCUAAUAGCACUCUAAUUCCAGCCACAUACCCAGCAACAUUCCAAACCAAACCAGCAAAUAAAUCUAUACAAAGUCAAUCAAAAUUCCCAAUGUUAUCAAAUGCAUAACAUCUACACUACAAUCCUUAACAACAACCAUUAUAAAGGGAUUAAAAUCUCAGAAACAUCAAUAUAUUUUAUUUCGUUAUAAACCAUCUCUGACAGAGCAGUCUAAUUCAAUAGAACAUAACUCAUUCCUAAAAACCAUUCUGGUUCAGUAGACAGUACCCAUUCUUAAAAAUCAUUCUAGUUCAACAGAACAUUAUCCAUUCUUAAAAUUUACUGUUUUACAUUUACUUAGUGUCAUUUUGGAUAGGAUAAAAGUCAAAGUCACAAGUUUGGGAUCAAUCAAGGUCAUAUGGUAUAUAGAAAUUUGUCAGUAGUAAUUGCAUUAUCUUUGAUAGUUAGAAGUACUGAACCAAACCAAUCAUCAAACAAGGAAAUAAUGAAU
rnacentral:lncRNA from 1 species